rnacentral:rRNA from 1 species
CGUGAGGGAAAGGUGAAAAGGACCCCGGGAGGGGAGUGAAAUAGAACCUGAAACCUUAUGCUUACAAGCAGAGGGAGCGCAAGUGACCUCGUACUUUUUGUAGAACGGGCCAACGAGUUAUGGUAUGCAGCGAGGUUAAGGUGCUGGAGCACUGGAGCCGUAGAGAAAUCGAGUCUGAAAGGGCGAAAGUUGCAUGCUGUAGACCCGAAACCGGGUGAUCUAUCCAUGUCCAGGUUGAAGUAACUGUAAUAGGUUAUGGAGGAGCGAACUUAUAUCUGUUGAAAAAGGUUAGGAUGAGGUAUGGAUAGGGGUGAAAUUCCAAUCGAACUCGGAUAUAGCUGGUUCUCCUCGAAAUAGCUUUAGGGCUAG